CCUACGGGAGGCUGCAGUGGGGAAUAUUGGACAAUGGGGGGAACCCUGAUCCAGCCAUGCCGCGUGUGUGAAGAAGGCCCUCGGGUUGUAAAGCACUUUCAGUGAGGAAGAACGCCUGGUGGUUAAUACCCAUCAGGAAAGACAUCACUCACAGAAGAAGCACCGGCUAACUCCGUGCCAGCAGCCGCGGUAAUACGGAGGGUGCGAGCGUUAAUCGGAAUUACUGGGCGUAAAGCGCGCGUAGGUGGCUUGAUAAGCCGGUUGUGAAAGCCCCGGGCUCAACCUGGGAACGGCAUCCGGAACUGUCAAGCUAGAGUGUAGGAGAGGAAGGUAGAAUUCCCGGUGUAGCGGUGAAAUGCGUAGAGAUCGGGAGGAAUACCAGUGGCGAAGGCGGCCUUCUGGACUGACACUGACACUGAGGUGCGAAAGCGUGGGUAGCAAACAGGAUUAGAUACCCGUGUAGUC
rnacentral:rRNA from 1 species